UGCAACGUAAUCGAAGUAAUACAAUUGAAUGGGUCAAUCCUAAUUCCAAAAAUACAAUGGUAAAAUGAUUUUAAUCACAUUUUAAGAAUCACAUUUCUACAUAAAAAGUUAAUUUAGUUAUUUAUGUUCUCACAUCUAUUAUGUAUUUGCUUUUACAAUGCAAGGCUUACAUAGUGUGCAUAUGAUAAUUGUCUUUUUAAUACAGCUUGAGGGUAAUGCAUGUUUUCUUUGUAACCAUUGUAGCAAAACAACAAUUUCAAACUCAAUUUCAUACUCUGAUUUGUGUUGGUUGUUUGCUUAAUGUGUUCAUACUCUUAGAAUUAGAAAUAGAAACAGUUUCAAACCACUAACAACACAAACAAACAAAUAAAACAAAGCAUAUUGAAACAAACAUAUUGACUAUUUAAUAGGCAUCAGAUAACCAAACUUAUCAAAUGUCGCCAUUAGCAAGAUUUUUAAGUAAAAGUAUAAAGUUAACAAAGUCAAAAUAAGCCAGUUAAGAUCUACUAUCAUCUCAUCCGACCACUAUCCUUUGAACCAAAAGUAUUAAUCACCGCUCUGAAAUUAAUUUGCCUAGCAAACUAGUGUCUAUGAUUAGCUUACUUAAUGAAAUUGUAAGCAUUACCAAAAAGGAUAUUCUUUGUAACAAUGGAGUCAGACAUGGUCUGGAACCUACUUUGCUGAACCAAAAAAAUAGGAUCCUAGUUAGCAGCAGAAAAACAUAUUCUGAAAAUUGGGAAAGCAGCUCUAGGAUUCUACUUUCUAGACUAUACAACUCACCAUCUGCUGAAGAAGAUUUUGCACCUGAAAAUAGCAACAGUGAGAUAAACAAGGGUCAGAAACUGAUUUACGUUAAUUAAAUCAUUGUAACCAUUGUAGCAAAGCAAAGCAACAAUUCCAUUGAGGAUAUAUUUUACAAUUUAAAAAAUAAGAGUAUGAAGACAUUAAGCAACAACCAACACAAAUCACAAACUCAAAUUGACAAAUGUGUUUAAAAAAUUAUAGCAUUAGACUUAUUAUUAACAGAGACAAUAUCACAAAACAUAGCAUGCAGUUUUAAAGGAUGAUUGAAAAUUAGGAUAACUACUACUACUCAAAUUUCUCCAUCAAUUAAAGAUUAAUAAUAAGAAUAAUUAACAAUGAAAUAAUUUUAGAUUGUUGAGUAACAAACAAAAAUUAUUAGAAAAUUACCGGAGAAAGCCACAAACACUUCUCGAUAGUGAAAGAAAUUGACUGAAAGCUGCGUCGGACCAACUCGCCGGCGAUGAAGGCUAAAAGCUGCGAUUCACGAUUCACGUUUUCACUGAAGGAUGAAGGUUAAAUGUGGAAGGAUGAAAACGUUUUCACUGAAGGAUGAAGGUUAAAUGUGGUUGGGUUUGAUGAAAAACGAAUGUUGAAGGAUGAAAAAUGGGUUUGGAUUCGCGGGUUUGGAUUCGCGGGUUUGGAUUCGUGGGUUUGC
rnacentral:lncRNA from 1 species